GUGAUCCACAGAAUGGGGCCCAUAGUGAAGGGGGAAGUGGGGGAGGAGGAGAGGAGCAGCCUCAGGGACUGUUACGAUCACAGCCUGGAGAAGGCCACCAACACCAAGCUAUGCACUGUGGAUACCCACCUGAGCAGGCUGUGCACGUCGCGUUGGAGACUGUCAGAAAUACCUGGAUGAACACCAUGAUACGGCUCACCUCUCAGAGAGUGACGUGUGGGGUUGUUGCUGUAGAUUGUGCAAUAAUGCUGCUCGCCACAUGCAAUCUCCUCCUCCUCAUCUUCCGCCUCUUCCUCUUCCCCUCCCUGGCUCUGCACUGGAGAAGACCUGGAUGCAUAUCGUAACGUCUUGACGCUGGAUCAAUUUCUAGAACAGAAUAAACUGCUUUAUUAUUAAUGAAACACAGGCUUUGGACCAAACUCAUCUGAAGAACUGUUUAUACAUGUGUGUUUGAAUAAUGAAAUGUUGAGGGACUUUCCUGUGUGUGUGUGUGU